AUGAGCAUCUGACCUCAGACCCCUGGUCCCACUGACAAAGCUGUAUCAGAACUGGGCCUCCCUGAGAGGCAGACCCAGGUGAAAACAGGAUGGGAGGAGAUGGGCAUUAGGAAUUAACAGCUUGUUAAUUCAUCAGGUACACACAGACUCUGCCAUCUCCUCACCAGCAUGUAACACACACACAGUCCCACCACUGAACUCACUAUGCAAUUUUAGAUCCUUGGCUUCUUUUGAAUGAAUCUCCAGACUCCAGAAGUGGUUUUGAUCCAUUUCUGCUUCUCCAACACCUCCAUUCCCCUGACGUGAAGGAGAAGUCCAUACACAGGAAGCUUCUUCAGAAACUCUCCAAUGACCUGAGUUGCUUUUCUCCAGCUCUGGAGAAAAAUGACAAUGAUGUCCCUCAUCUGCUACUUGAUCUGUCAUCUGGAGAGACUGUCCCUUAUGCAGAGGGGAGUUAACAUGAGCUGAGGAAUUCCAACACAUCUCAAAAGUUUAAUCAUAAGUCAACCUUCAAAAAGGAUUAGAUGCAGAAAAUAUCACCGUGCCUUUCCAGUGCCAGAGGCACUGGAGAUGUAAAUUUAAGGAUGCAGUCAAUAUAACUACCUGAGAUAUGGUUUCCCAGGGGCACCAUGUCUCCUCUCCCUUUCCACAGUCUGGACACUGGAAGUUCAUCCAAGGGCUCAGCUACUCAGACAGCAGAAAUAAGGACUACUGAGAAUGGAGCAAUCCUGCCAGCAUAUGUGGAGUCAUUCAGGACUACAGCUGUUAGUUACCAGCCCAAGUAGAACCAAAAUCAAGGGAGAGGGAAGACCUUCUGAAACUCUACAGAGCAGAAGAUGAAUAUGAGUUGGUGAAGAGAGAGAAUACUUCCCGCAGCUUCCAGAAGCUCCAGACUUGUGAGCAGCUUGUCUGUGAGCACAUGGUAGAUGCAAAGCAAGGCCUGGGAUGUUGUGUUCAUGUAAACCAAGAAUGGAAAGCUUAGACACGCCUCCUCCUGGUUUUUCAAAAAAUGCUGCGCUCGUAAGGAAACAGAGUCUGUGCUGUCUGGAGGACAAGAGCCUUUGAUGAAUCACCCAAACUCCUACAGCCCAGGCACUACUAAGCAAACUUAAAUACCAAAUAAAUUACUGUUUGUAUCUGUUAUACCUACUCACCUUCAAACCUGCCAACAGGUGAAACAAAUGACUAAAAUAUGUGACAAAUGAGUUAGAGGUACAAUACUUCGUUUUGGCUGCGUGUUAUUUAAUAACUGCCAGAUUCCUGGUGUUAUCCUUUAGACCAGGAUUUAUAGUCUUAUUUAUUUUACAGAGAUGAGAAAAUAAUUCUCAAAAAUACAGAAAACUGAAUUCUAUUAGGAAGAAACUGUCAAAAUGUUCCAUAUGAUUUAUCACUCUGAACACUUCCCUAACGCUGGAGUCAAAGAUUAAAAGUGAUUUUCCUUGUGGAUAGAGAUGAGCAUGAUGUGACGUACAUGAGUGGGCUAUGCAAUUAUUUGCUAAUCACUUAGUAGAACAAUAGAGAGAAUGUGGGUUUUUUUAAUUCUUUGCCUGAUUUGGGUAAUAAAGCAUGGCUUGAUGACACAGAUGGGAUAGGCAAGCCCAUCAGUCUGGUGUAUUCCACCAAGGAGAUGGUGGGUCUGCCUGAGAGAGACUUGAAUUUGCAAUGGGGACCAUGGUCUCUACCAAAUAUUUCAGGAAACUCCUCCUGCAGUUUCUUGGGAAACUGCUUUGGUCAAUGGUCAUCACACAGAACUUGAGAUGUAGGACAGCUGUGCCUAAUUCUCCACUUACAAAUGCAUCAAACAUCUAUAAAGGACAGAAGUGGAAGUCAGUGACAGCUAUUUUGGACUAGGUUGAGUCAAUAGGAAAACUGAACGAGUAUGUCAGGUUUAGAAGAUGAUUCUAGUAGAUAUAAAAUGCAAGCAACAUUUGGUAAAAAUAAUUCUAAUAUUUUCAAAGCAGAUAUCUCCUUUUUUAAUUUACAUUUGGAUAUUUACUUCAAUAUAUUUUAGAUAUAUAAACAUGAUUUUGAACUUCUGAAUUGGAAAACAAAUAUUCCUGCCAUUUUAAAUACUGAUUAUACACUGAAGAAUUAAACUCAGAUCUGUCCUGAGGUGGAUUCUCAUUUCCUCCAGGUUUGAAGAAAUGGCCAUUAAUAGGAUUGCACACACAGAUUGCAGAGGGACAGACUGUGUUCAGUAUUGUGUUGCAGAUCAGCACUGCACUGACUUCUUAGCCGGAAAAGCACUCUGCAAAUAUCCACUACCUGAAGGAUGCAGAUGGGACAGCAAGGAUGCCAAGCCCCGGAGACAACUCAAUCCAAUCCAAUACAGGCACUACACACCAAAUUCCUGUUUGAUAUAUCACACUGGCACAAAGAAAAUCCCUGACUGUGAGAGAGAACAAGGGCUGAGGAAUAAUACAGCUGUCAUUUCUGGCAUGAAGAAACAUUUUUUAAACUUUUAGGACUGAUUGGAUUUUCACUGCUAACAUUUCUGCCAGACUUCCUUUCAACAAAGUAUCAAGACUGGGAUGGAGUAUUUCAUAGAAUACUUGCAGAGGAGACAGAAUGGUCAGAUCUGCCUUCACUUUGCUCUUAAAUUAAGAUUAAAGGGGAGGGAAAGGAAGCCAUAAGGGCCAUUUCAGUGAUUAGAUUCACCCAUGGAAUAGCUCAACAUGACAUUAAUUCUUAGACAGCUGAUUAGGUGGUUUGCAGUCCUGUGCUGAAGGUCCUGGCUGUGGUCAGGAUGUGGUCCAGGUUUGGGGGAUGGUUUGGGAGACAGGGGUGAUUCUACAGAGUAGCAGCAAGGAUUUUUGUCAUAAACUUUAAAAGAAAGUUGGAAGUCAGACUGCAUAUAGCAUUUGUUCCCUGGAGUCUUCUGGUUAGGCUGUUUAUUAUGAAGAAUUGUUUAGUCAAAAAGAGAGACAAGGGUAUUGGUCUGGCAGGUCAACAGCAAUUUGCAGAAUAUAUAAAUUGUUAAAAAUGCAAGGUGCAGACAUAAAACGGAGUGUUCUUAAUAACAAAAGGAUUGAAAUACUGGAAUGUGGGCUCCAUUCUACCUCUGUUUUUCUUUUCUCUCUCUACUUUGAUCUUUCCAACUAUUUUUUAAUGCAAAUAUCUACACUGUUAAGGACCAUCCAUACGAAAUACAGUCACUGGCUCUUGGAAGACGUUUUUUCUAUGAAGGUUUAUCACAAAUAGACCAGAAAUGUGAUAUCUGAUGUUUUGUGAACUGACACAUUAUAUUUUUGGUUCCUAUGAUUCAUCGAACUAGUUUGAGUGAAUGGACAUUUUUACCCUAUAAUUUAAACUGAAGGAUAUUGAAAGGCAGCUAAAAUUUUUCCCAACUAAUAAGAAAUCUCUUUUCUGUGAACAUUGGAAGAAACCUGCCCAAAAAUGCAAACUGUGCUGAUGGCUUUUCUAUAGAGCAAGUGCAGACUCAUUAAACAUAUUUUUUUUCCUUUCAAACUCCUUAUGCUUUUAAAUGAAUUCAAAGAUUAUGUUUCAAACGAAGACUGUGUGGGUUUGAAAGCAACCAAGACAAGUAGCCCAGUCCUAACUGAGACCUUUGUUAGGGCAGAAUCUAGUAAAGUGAGCUAACAAUUUGCAAUACAUUGCCUGUCACUUCAAAUGUCAGUGAUAAUUUGCAAAACACUCAGAGCAAUAAUGGAAAAAGGCAUAAAAUGUCAAAUUUGUAGCAAAGCUGACAACAAAAAGAAUAUUCACUGUGAAUUACAGUCUUCCUGACUUGCUAAAGCUCUUACUGAUUUUGCUUUAAUAAAGGAUAUUCUCCUCUCAAGGGAUUUAAAUACAGUAGAUUAUCUAACAUGCUUAACUGAUGCUUGAAGUUCUCUAUCUGAAAGAUUAUCCUUGAUGACUGAGAAGUCUGUGAUCUCUUGCAAAGACGUUUGGGAGGGUGACUGGUCAGUUUGGUGGAUCUGUUACCUGGAUAGGUACACAUUUGGUCAAGGACCCCAACAUUCCCUUGCACUGAAAAGCUAGUGGCUAUUCCAUUUUUGUAGAUUCUUUUUUUGGAAAGCUGUUUGGUGAACUAUUAACAACUGACUUUGAAAAGGCAUCAGCUCCUGCUGUUCUGCAGCUCCUAGAGAAGAUGAAAAUGUUCAAAAUGGAAAAAUACCAAAAAACUGAGAAAUGUAUAUAUUGAUCAAAAGUCAGACAUAUGCUUGAUGGAAAGGAAAACUUCAGAGUACGAAAAUAACAACUCUGCUUUCCGAAAACCUGUGCCAGUUACCAAAAAUAUUUUAAUGAACCAUUACACUUUCAGAUACAUCGGAUGUGCACAGGCUGGAUUGCAAGCCUGGGUCAUUAGGAGUUCAAAUAGCCUGGCUCACAGCAGGACCUGGGAAAGCCAGACCGUUUUAUCUAAUCCUUAUUGAAGGGGUAAGAGGGGAAACAGGGAGCUAAACUACGUGACAGACAGGGAUCUGUGAAAUGAAGUGUUAGGCAAAAGGAUUAAGGGGAAGCACUAGAAAACUGUGCAUGGAAUACAAUGCAAGUUGGAUGCGGAGAGAAUACCAAAAAGUCAGUCUGAGAGCUACAAUAAAGGUGGGUAAGAAAUCUCUGGCAACGUGGUACAUGGCAUAUAUUAACUACCCUAGAAUUUAUGAAGCCUCUCAGACUGGCUGUGCCUCCCAGGCAAGGCCCACAUUGUCUUGACUAGAACCCAAGUUAUGUUCAAUUUGCCAUCCCAGAUAUUUGCAGACUUGCUAUAGUAAAAAAGCAAGUUACUGCUGUGCAAUCACCGAGGCUUCAUCUCCUCUGUGGCUUCUGUAACACCUUGGGCCCCACAACCUGUUAGAAAAGGGCCCCUGCUUCAGAGCAACCAAAUCUAGGUUGAGUCCCAGAGCCUUGGGAGAGCCCUCUGCAAAACCUCCAUUGCUCUGUCACAGCAGGGCAGUGUCUUUGCCCCCAGCUGCUGUUCAGGUGGCUUGGGACAGCUCUUCACUGCAGCCCUUCCUGAGCAGGACAUGCAUUUGGAAUGCAGCUCAAUAGGCCACCAUCACAAUGAAUUUUUAGUGUACACCAGAGCCAAACCACAUUUAACAAAAGUGGGGCUACCCUCAUCUUUCUGUCCAGGUCCGUGGCUCUGCUUUUCUUUGCACAAGCUCUAGGGCUUGUCUGACUCUGUGCAGAGCUAAUCCAGCUCAUUAACCCAAAAUAAAACUAUUGACUUUCCUAGCAAAUUAAUGCAUUGCUGAAGGGACAAAACCCUCCCAAGAGUUCAAAUGGAUGCAGGACCUUCCUUUUCAACAGCAAUGAGAACAGAUCACUUCAAGCUGAGGUGAUUUAUCCAUGGGGAACUCUACUCAUGGGCUAAUUUACACCUGUACUUUGCCUACUGCACAAAAUGGAGUCCUUAUUACAAAAUACAUUCUCAGUUUUGUACAGACACAUUCCACAGCUUCUUCAUUAAGAAAUCUGGUUUCAGAGCAUGCAUAAAAGAUCUCAUUUUUAUGGUAAAUAUUUCCAUCCUGUUCUUGUGAAAAGAAAGAAAAAUUAUAAUGUAUUAAUAUUACAUGAGGAUGAUGAAUUAUCUUUCUAUCCAUUGACACCUCUGUAGGAUGAGAAUGGCACUGCUGUUUUUCAAUCAGCAGUCUCUAUGGCACCUGAGUAUCCAAAGAUCCUUAAAGAGUAGGAGACUUCCAGCCUUCUUAUGUUAAUUUUUAACAGCUCUCUUUACAGCUAAUAUUCAAAGAGUGAAAGGAAAGCUCAUGUCAUUCCAGGAAUCAAGCAGAAUGACCAAGGUAAUAACAGACCUGGCAUCCUUGGUAAUCCUAGACAAAACAGUGAUGUUAUGUGAAUUAAAGCAGUCAUGAUAUGUGUGAUUCAAUCAAUAAGGAGUUAAAGGUAGGAAUGUAAUGAAAGCAAGUCCACAUGGCUUUAUGGAAACAAGACUUGACAAGCAGGCCUGACUUCAAUUUUUGAUGUGAUUACAGGUUUGUUUGAUCAAGGUAACCACAUGGAUGUGAUAGACUUGGACCUUCCUAAUGAAUCUGAUUUAGUACUGCUUGACAUUUUGAUUAAAACAUUAGCAUUAUAUAGCCUUAAUAAAACACAUUAAAUAGAUUAAGAUCUGGCUAAUUGAUAGAGUUCAGCAAGCUGUUCUAACCAGAUAUUCAGCACCGACUGGGGAUAUUUUUAGUGGAGCUCUGCAGGCAGGAACACUAUGCUUGCUGCCAUUCGAUGUUCUGGAAUUACACAGAAACAUGGGCAACACUGGCAAAUGUCCCAUAGUGUAAUGAGGAAUAGGUAGCUGUGCAAAGUCACAGUUUUGCCUGCAUUGGCAUAACUGUGUUUCUGGUAUUUGAUUACACCUUUUUCCUUCAUUUCUCUAGAGGCACAGAAGUUCUUUGUCAGGGUGUAGUUGCAAGGCUGUGGUCUAUGCUGCUGGUGGGCAUACAGUGAUUUUUCUCAAGGGUCAUUGCUUUUAACUGCUAACACAUGGAUUAUCAAAGGGACUCACAUGAAUCACUUAAAAAGUGUCAACUGUGAAACCAUCACUUAUUCCACACUUCUGCAUGUAUUUUUUUAAACUACCAAAAAUACAACCUGAGAUUAAAAUAAGUUUUCAGCUUUGAAAUCAGGAAACUCUAGUCCACAGGCUGAAGCAGGAUUUGCUAUAAACAAAAAAUUAAACAAGAAAGCCAGAGAACUGACUAGAACAUUAAUUAUCAAUUAUACACAAAACAUAUCCAAUCUCUAAUAUUAUCACUUUUUGGUCAGCUGAUCUAAGCACAUCUUUCCCAAUUCUUCAUUUUCUUCAUCAGUUCUUGAAUCAGAUUGAGAGAACACUGAAUUAAUAUUACUCUCCUUUGCCAGGUUUUAUUCUGACCAAUCUUUUUUAUAUUACUGCACAUAAUCACAAGCUUCCUUAAGCAAAAAUCAGAAUGAAAGUUCAUAUGAAUUUUGAUGGUGUGGACUGUUAAAGAUCCUCUUUCUCAGCAAAAUCUUUGUAGUAAACUGUUAUCCUUUUAACAUUUGGUUUCUGUUUGACCUUGGAGAACAAGAUGACUACUAAAUGUAAAAGAUACUAUUCAGAAAAAAGACACUGAAGAGAAUACCCUCUUAUUACUAUCUGAAAUACAGAUUCAGAUACAUAUUUCCCACAAUGCACUGGCAUGUAUUAUUUAACUUCAUUUAUGUAUCAAUUUAAUAUCUAAAAACAUUACAUAUUUUUCUAAUUUUAUCAAGUUUUAUUAAAACUCGUGGUGGCAAUCUCACAAGUAUCCUAUGAAACACCAAUACAAUCUAAACCAGUACAAGUCAGCAGCAGAAUGCCUCGUGUCUACUGCUUUUUUCUCCACUGGGAAAAAAAAAAAAAAAAAAAAGAAGCAAUAGGUUUUUUACUGUGUCAAAACCAAACUGUUCCUUUUUGUUGUUGUUGGUAUACAACAAAACUUCUCAGCAAUGUGGUCAUUCAACGGGGCUUCUUUCUGUGCCUGUCAAAACUGUUACUGAGUUUGCCUAUGUCCUGCACUGUCCACUCUCCCUCUGCACCAUCCCACAACUCUCAUUUCCAUCACUCCCUUUCUGCUUCUGGAUUUGUGUCCAGCUUAGAGAAAAACUUCCAAAAGAGACAUACAUGCCUUACAUGCACCAGUAGUGAGAUCAAGUUUUUGGGUUUUUUUUGUUUUUUUU